AAUAAUUUUUACAACCCCUGCUAUCUGUUGAUUGAUUCGGUUUUUUCCAACUUUUUUCCUUUUCAGUAUCCAAGAGUUUAAUUAAUGUGCUUCUUUCGGGUCUUUGCAACCCCCCAAAAUAUAUAUAUGCAUAUACAUUAUACAUGUCAUGUAUCUGAUUUCGAAUUCAGCUGGUUUGAUUGUCAAAACUUGAUGAUCCUCUUCUUUUAUUGACAUCCUGGGAUUGCUUUCUGUUUUUUUUUUUUCUGGCUUGCCUAUUCAUGGAGCAAUUAUACUAACGUGUAAUCUAGUUAACAGUACAAACUAGGUUUUGUUUAGGCCUGUAGAGUGUAGAUGUAGAGUGUGGAACAAAAAGGUGCAAUUGACUGCUUAAUAUGUUGCCUUUAAGGUCUGUCUGCUACCCCUUCCCCGCCAAAAAGAAUCCCAAAAAAAUCUCAAUCUCUCUCUUUUUUUCUGGCCUGAAUCUCUCCCUUCUUAAUUAUUCAUUGGGCAUGAUAUAUGUGGAAAACAAGAGGGCAAAGAUGGUAGUAAGAGUUUAAGUUUUCAUUCACUCUGACUUUAAACGGAUUAUUGUGCUUGUUCUGUUAAUUGAAUUGUAUAAUAGCAUCAGUAAGCUUUUCCUGGUUUUUAUCCUUGAAAUCGCUAUGUACUUCCCGAAAAGAGAGAAAAAAAAAAAGAGCACUCGUGUGUUAUAGAUGACAGUGAUGUACAGGGAUUUGUACUCUCUAAGAACCAGGACAGCACCAUUAGUCUUGAUUUUCCUGAAUCAUCGUGCAUGCGGAUGGUUUAAGAAAGAAACAUGAGAGGUUUCAAGGUGGUGAAAGCCGAAAGAUAGGUUGAUAUAUUGCAAUUACAAAACUUGGUACUGCAUGUUGAUUGGUAAAGAAUAGUAAAUGGUUACGCUUCUUCCGGGUAUAGGACUGAAUGCUUUGGCUUGCAGAUGUUCUGAAACGGAGGCAGCUAUAGAUUUUUUGGUGUGGCAUCAUUGAUCAUAGCAUACACAAACCAUUUCUUGCAGACAGGAAUUUUUUAUUUGAGACUUGAGAUGAAAAAGGAGAGAGAACUAUUAUAAUAUAAUGUGGUUUAACAAGAAUACUGUUUUUUUAUUAGAAUUAUUCAUUAUCCAUACUCUUUAGUAGUGAAAAGUGAGCCCUGUGGGGUAGCCUUAAGAAUUUUGUUGCAUUAUUCCUUUAGCCCGAGGUUAUUUAAACGACAAAUUGUGUACUAGCUUGUAAUGGAGGACGCCAAUGGAAAUGGCCAAGCCUUCUAUGCUUUAUGAACAAGUCCUUCCUUUUCCUGUAUAUUUAUGACUACGUGGAGAACUGUUUUUGAA